UACGUAGGGGGGCUAGCGUUGUCCGGAAUCAUUGGGCGUAAAGCGCGCGUAGGCGGUCAGGUAAGUCCGGUGUGAAAGUCAAAGGCUCAACCUUUGAAUGCCGCUGGAUACUGCUUGACUUGAGUCCGGAAGGGGCGAGUGGAAUUCCUGGUGUAGCGGUGAAAGUGCGCAGAUAUCAGGAGGAACACCAAUGGCGAAGGCAGCUCGCUGGAACGGUACUGACGCUGAGGCGCGAAAGCCGUGGGGAGCGAACAGG
rnacentral:rRNA from 1 species